ensembl:lncRNA
AUAAAUAAAAUAAAAUAUUUAAAAAGAAAGAGAAUACAAGGCCUACGCUUGGAUUCCAGCUCCUGUGCACCCCGCAACACCGCCAGGCCACCUUCUGAAGAGGGUAAAAUUUCUCACGGUCUCGGGGCACUUGGGAGCGUCAAGUCCCGCGGCCCAGAGGGCAGCCGCGGAGCACGCCGGGGCCGCAGCCCCGCCGACGGGCAGCCCCGAAGCAUCGAGCUCCGAAACAUCGAGAACCGCCAUGGGCUGCUGGGGCUCCCGGCCUACAGGCACACGCUUAGAAACCCAUUUAGGUCUUUUUUUUUUUUUUUAACUUUUUUAAAAUUUAAAAUUCCCUUUGCCAACACACAGCCCAACAGCCAGGGCUCGCCCCCUCACGCGCCCUCCUCAGGGCCCGGCGCCCAGAGCCUCCGUCCUCCCACCGCCGACCGCCGUCACGGGGCAUCACUCAAGUGCGGAAGGAAGCCUGGGCCUCGCCGAAGGCUUGGGGUCCAGGGCCGCCGCGAGGAUUUCCAGAACCUACUUGCGAGCUCCGUCGGGAAGACCUUCGGCGCGGCCUUCCACGACCGUGGAGGUUUUGGGAUCGAAGACGAUUGCACCGAUUCUUCCGGGGUUCCGCACCGUGGAGGGCCGCGGAGGAGGUGGCCCCUGCGUGACCUGCGUGACCUUGCGCGGCCCUCCCGGCGCUCCUCUCCGCACCGAGACGCGGGCUUUGAGGUUCGGGGGUGCGAAAGGAACAGCGAGGGUCGCUGUCGUGCCCCAGCAAACCAGCACGGUACCCCAGGAACGUAGAUGUUACAGUUUCUGCAAUGCCUUCCGGUUGUAGUGCGUCACUGCAGGCCUGGCCUGUGGGAGCGCAGAGACCAACUGAGGGAGGAGGGAGCGCUCGUGCGGAGGGAGCCCCGGCUUCCACCAGACGCCGCCGCUGCUCCUCUCGGCUCACCCUCUCACAUCAUAUUCUUGUCUUUGGAGCCAGAGUGACGACGUGUUAUCACCAGGCCUUACACAGGGGCAUUUUCAACUUCACACGACACAGCCUGGGCUAAAUGGCCAGGCCGCACUAGCGGCGGCUGACAGGUGACCCGGCCCGUGGCUGGUAGUCCAACCAUGCACAUCACCUACGAGUGCAAAGGGCAACCCUAAACCCAAAGGAUCAUUCUUAAGGAAAGCAGAGGCAGGACCCACCUCAUCCCCAGAACAGACAGAGGCACGGUGGGGAACAGUGGGGCAAGGAUAAAAGCCACCAACGGCGCUGACUCCUGAUGUCAGGAAGUGUGUGUAGGGGGUGGGCGGGGUCUGCAAUCCCAGAGGGCUCCGGAAACAGAGACUCGAGGCGGGUGACUGUCUGGAUUGAGGUUCAUGUUUUCCUGGGGAAUUGAUUGGAUACGGAGCCAGAAGAGCUUUUCCUUAGUUGUUUCCUACCCCAGACCAUGUGUUAUCUGAGAGGUUGAGAAGUUCGAUGAGGCCCUGAGGCAGGCAGAGCUUGGGAGGGAAAAGCAGAUAGGCUCUGUGACAGGGCUCUGGGACUCCACCCGCCGCGUGUGUAUAAAGUGGGUUAAACUACGAAUUGGGGGAUCCCUGGGUGGCUCAGUGGUUUGGCGCCUGCCUUCUGCCCAGGGUGAGAUCCUGGAGACGCGGGAUCAAGUCCCACUCCGGCUCCUGGCAUGGAGCCUGCUUCUCCUUCCUCCUGUGUCUCUCUCUCUAUAUAUAUAUCUAUCAUGAAUAAAUAAGUAAAUCUUUAAAAAAUAAAAAAAUAA